AACGCAUAUUGCGCUCUCUGGUAUUCCGGGGAGCAUGCCUGUUUGAGCGUCAUUAAAAUCAUCAAGCCUUGACGCUUUGUCGAAGUUUGGACAUGGACGUGUGUGGAGUUACGCUCUGCUGGUCUGAAAUGGAUUGGGUGUUUUAUUCUAGGCCCUUGGCGUACUAGGUUUUACCGAUCGCUGAGCUUGCGUGCUGAAAAUACAAUGUCCGAACAACCUUUUUUAUCUUGACCUCAAAUCAGGUAGGGCUACGCGCUGAACUUAA
rnacentral:misc_RNA from 1 species